GACGCCAUGGGGGUAGGACGCUGGGAACUAUUCUCCGGCUCUUUCUCCUCUGUUCAUUAAUUCAACGAAUGGCAUCAUCUUCUGUACCAGUGGAGAAGCCAGAACCCAGUGUUGGGUGAUUAGAGAAAGGCUGGCUCCUGCACCGUCUGUAGAAAAUCUGACAUCAAGGAAGAAGUAAAGUUACUCACGGCUGAGUGGAAGG